AGUCAGAGCCAGAGUGACUGUCCCAGAUGGAGGCAUGUGGCCCAGUCUGGGCUAAAGAGAGUGAAGACCUGGGAUUUUACAUGGAGGCGGGAGAGAGAAGCGGCUGGUGAGCUGGUGUGAGGAGCGCCUGGAGCUGUGGGGGGCCCUGCCGCGCCCUGUCACCCUCCACCUGGAAGAAGCUUGCCUGCAGACAAGACAGUGAAGUCAACCAGAGGGAAAACUGAGCUCGGGUGGUACGUGAGAUAGGCAGAUGUGGGACAGCGGUCCCCAGGCAGCCUCCGCGCCUGGACUUCCCUUGGCGACAGCUAAGCAGUUCCCUUUCUUCCUGAUAUCAGUUGGAGUUGGAUUCUGACACUCGUGCCUGAGCGGAUCGUGACCGAUACAGGUUUGAACUCUGGGGUAAAAUCAUCUCCAGAAUCCUCCAGCAGACUUCCCUCUUCAUCUCACUGGCCAAAAUCAAGUCACAUGACCAUCCCUGAUCCAUCUCUUGCACAGGGGAACAGGAUCGCUAUGAUUGGCUGUGACCAGUCAUGAGUCAUCUCUUUGCUCAGAGAGCAGCACAAUUGACCGGAUACUCACCCUCUUUGAGUUUCUGGGGGUGGUGAGGCCCAUCUCCAGUCUUGGGAGCAGUCUGUGUGGAGGGCCUUCUCUGGGCCAGGCCUUGUGCAGAUGAAGGAAAACAGUCCCCACCUUCAAAUGCACGCAGGAGGCAGGAAGGAGCCACUACACGGUCUGCAGACAGGGUCUCUACAGAGGCGAUCAACUUAAAUGAGGUCAUGAAGGGUGGUUCCUAAACCAGUGUGACUGGCAUCCUUCUACAAAGGGAAAAGUUGGACACAGACACCUGUGCACGGGGAGAACCGCCGUCUGCAGUCGAAGGUAGAGAUCCGGGAUGCCUUUAGAGCCCUGGAAUGCCCGAGAUGGCCAGUGCUCACCAGAAGAGGAGAGGGGCCUGGAAUAAUCCUUCUCCACAGCCCUCGGAAGGAGCCACCUGCAGACAUCUGAUCUCAGACUUGUGGCUUCCAG
rnacentral:lncRNA from 1 species